GAAGAAGUAGAAAAAAAAUGAAUGCGUAACCCGGAAAUUAAACUUCACAACAACAAAAUUGUCGGGAAAUCUGCUCCGUGAAAACAUCUCAGGCAGCCGAUGGACUUUUUAUUUCAUUUUAGUAAAUAGUGCGUUUGUCUUGAGACUUGUGUAACCACAGUGUCUCUCAACGUGGGUUUAACAUGGACAAAUAUGACGAACUGUUCGAGAUCCAAGAUGAGUUCGAGGAACAGUUCGCAGACGACCAUGAAGUAGGCAAGUAGCAAGAACAGUCUGGUUUUUGUACCAAAUCAAUCAAUCAAAUAAAAACGAGGCCAUGAAACGAAUGAAUCGAUCCGCCUCAGUUUCUCGUUGUCUGUCCACCACACAGGGAAUAAUAAGGACGUGUGGCAGAAGGUGUUUUUCAAGGAUAAAUUGACACUAUAAUCUUCUGGGUGGACACAGUGCGGACACAGUUCACCCGGUCUGAGACCAUGGGAAGAAUUUAUUGAAUGUAAAGCUCCAGUAACUGAUAAAGAACUGUAAAGAAUGAAAAGAUCAAUAAAACGCCCCCCCUCUUUGUGUUGUCAGCCAGUGACAUCACCUUUUCUUACAGGAGCGACAGUACAUCCCCCAAACUGAAACAACGAAGACGUGUCCAAAUGACACGCCGUGGAUAGAAUGAAUCGAUUAUCUGCACAUGGAAUAAACCACAACCAAAUCUGUAUUUCAUGUUUUUUUUGCCUUUAUUACAGUAAGAAUUCACAUGGAUGCAGUGACAUGUGGACAACUUGCUGUGGACAAAGUAUACACUCAAGUUUUUCACAAAAUAAAACAUUCACGAACUUACAUCGAUGAGCUAUAUACAUCACACCUUGUCGUUCUCUGCCUUCACGGCCUCUGUCUUUACUUCAGGUAAAAACACACUUUUUUACAUGUACACAACAGGUGAUAUUUCGAGCUUUCGACUGAUCCUCGGUUUGCUCUUCACAACAGACCCUUCACCAUCUUCCCCCGCUGGGGCAUGAGCAGUGAUGGCUUUAUAUUCUGAUCCUUCCAUUUCCUGGUUCUACAUAAAUGGGAUUUGGAUACCUUCUUGUUUCCAUCGGUUCAACCCUGAGAGGAGUAGCAACAUCUCUGUCUACUGAAUGGUGUGAUGGCUCAGGUUCCUCCCUGUCUCUGCUGCUGUGACCUCUGUGAUGAACGAUCAUGGCAUCUAGGACAUGGUCCCUUGAGUUCAUACGGUGGACGUACCCGAGGAGGUGGCUCCCGUCCACCCGGGCUGCGUUUCCGGAAGCCAUCAUGGGAGCGAGACCGGGACCUGAAGGAUGCUGGUACUUCUGCUACAUCCCAUUGUCCGGCCCGGAAGGGAGGAGGAAACAACAGGAGCGAGUCGGACUUUGACCGUGAAAGCCCGGAACUGCGUCCAGUGUGCCUGGAAUAAGGGGAGCGUGGAUAAGACCGUCCAUGGGAGCGUGAACGGGACCUGAAGGGUGCUGGUACUUCUGGUACCUCCCAGGGUCCGGCCCGGAAGGGAGGAGGAAACAACAAGUCUGAGUCGGACUUUGACCGUGAACGCCUGUUACUGCGUCCAGUGUGCCUGGAAUAAGGGGAGCGUGAACGGGAGCGGGAUCGACUCGGGGAAUAAGAAUAAGACCUGGAUCCAGAUCUUGCACUAGAUCGAGUGUACGGAGAGCGGCCGAAUGGCUGCGACCUGGGAAAGGAAAGAAUCGGGAAGAAAAUCAUCAAUAAAUUCAUCCAGUUUGGAUGUAGUUCUGUGAAUACAAAGAAAAGAACAGUCAAACUUUCAAAUGACUCAAUCAUACUGAAAUCAUCAUAAUCCCGCUAAGUAAUGUUAAUGUGUGUCAAUCCCAAAAUGAUUAGCUAGUGUAGCUGUAAGACGACUCAAAACAAAAAGAAACUACUCAC